CGUGUAGGCGGCUAAAUAGGUCCGUUGUGAAAACUCGAGGCUCAACCUCGAGAUGCCGAUGGAAACCAUUUGGCUAGAGUCCGGAAGAGGAGAGUGGAAUUCCCGGUGUAGCGGUGAAAUGCGCAGAUAUCGGGAAGAACACCCGUGGCUAAGGCAACCCCCUGGGCUGAUACUGACACUCAUGCACGAAAGCGUGGGGAGCAAACA
rnacentral:rRNA from 1 species